CAAUAGCGUAUAUUUAAGUUGCUGCAGUUAAAAAGCUCGUAGUUGGAUUUCGGGUGGGAAUGGCCGGUCCACCGUUUCGGUGUGCACUUGCUACGCCCACCUUGCUGCCGGGGACGUGCUCUUGAGUUCACGCUCGGGACACGGAGUCGGCGAGGUUACUUUGAGUAAAUUAGAGUGUUCAAAGCAGGCCUACGCUCUGAAUACAUUAGCAUGGAAUAACACGAUAGGACUCUGGCCUAUCUUGUUGGUCUGUAGGACCGGAGUAAUGAUUAAGAGGGACAGUCGGGGGCAUUCGUAUUUCAUUGUCAGAGGUGAAAUUCUUGGAUUUAUGAAAGACGAACUACUGCGAAAGCAUUUGCCAAGGAUGUUUUCAUUAA
rnacentral:rRNA from 1 species